CCCGUUGCUGUUUUUGUAUUAGCAUCAUUUGCAAGUUUUCAUUUUGUUGCAUGCGUUGUUGAAAUUGCUGCUGCUGUUUCUGCUGUUGCAUGUUUUGGUCCUGCAUUGCAUGUAGCAUCUCCAUUUGUUGCUUGCUGGCAUCCUUAUGUAUGGCCAAGUUCGCAGUGUGUUUCUUCUCCUCCAAUUCUAACAUUUUCUAUUUGACUUCCAUCUCCUCUUUCUGCACCUUUUUCUCACUCUCGAAUUUUUCCUUCAAAUAUAUAAACCAGCUCCCCUCCACUUCUUCGUCUCCUUUUCGUUUUUUUCUCCUUUUCUUCGCCUUUUCGUUUUUGAGAAUGUUUCCAUUGCAGUCCGUCUCACAUCAUCACUUGUUACUGGUCAGCUUUUUCUUGA